UAUGAGAAGAGAAGAAACGGAGGAGAACAAAGGAGUUCAUGUUCAUCGGCCUCCUCUGUUGUUGACAUUCAUCUUCUCGAAAUAUCGAAUGGAGAGGAGAGAGAGGGAGAGCUGAACCUCGUCCUUCCCCCAGUGGAUUGGUGACUUCGAUGGCAGAACCGGAGAAGGCAACGCAGGGGGGAGAGGGGAAGAAGAUG